rnacentral:lncRNA from 1 species
AUGGUGGCCUCAGCGGCAGGGACUCGGGCGCCACUUACCCGGCAGGUGCGGCCGGAGCCAGCGGGGACCCAGAGAGUCGGGCCUGAGCGGGGGCCUGAGCCGGAGCUGAGCGGCGCGGGCGUCCGGUGCCUCCCAGCGCCCGCCGCCUCCUCUGCCGCCGCGCGAAGCCCGCCGCGCCGCCCGCCCGCCGGCCCGAGGGAGGGGGCGCGCCGGCGGCUCCACCCUCCUCCGCCCGCCCCGCGCGCCCCUCCUUCCUCCUGCGUCUCUCGGGCCACCUGGCAGUGGGGCGGCAGCGCGGACGUGGGUCGGCUGCCGCGGAGACAGGCGCCCGGGGGUCGUGCGCGGGCUGCGGUCGGGGACUCCAGGGUCCAGCCGCGUUCCGGGACGAGUGAGGGCUCCGGGUACUCCAGCGAGGGGUCUCCUCCGAUCCAGCUUCCCCACUCCCAGCAGGCUGGAAAGGGGCUGGAGCUAGAGAUGAGGAGCCGAGGACUCCUCCCAAGGGCUGCGGGCGGUGUCAGUAGCGCCUGUAUCUGCCAGCACAGUCCCUGGCGCAGAGCGCACCUUCACUACCGGCUUCUUUGUCCUCCUUGGAACCCCUGGAUCAGCUCUCCACCAGGGCUUCUAGUUGGCCUCGCCCCCUUCAUCUAUCCCCUGGUGAAGGGAGCUCAGUGGGGACUCCUGCAAGAAGAGGGCUUGCAGCCCCCUUCCCCAUCCUCCCCAGCCUUGGCUGGACCUGGCACCACCGCUCAGGAAGUCCCUGGCCCAGCAGGGGACCCCACAAAACAUCAGCCCCUCUCCAGGCCUGCCGGCUCCAGCCCACAGGAUUGGCCUAAACAAUGGUAAGAGCCAAGGAGGGCCAUCUGAUAAAAAUCAUGACAAGGUAGGGACUCAGCUAACCUACCCAUCACCCCAUUCCAGUCCUCUGGGGCUGUGCAUCUGCCCAGCUCCUGGGCCCUGGCCCCGAGUGACAGCCUCUGCCCCUGUCUUGCCUGUCUCCUGUGUGUUCACCUCUCCAUCUCUAAGCCCCCACUCUGGAUACCCUGCCUCCAUCUCUGGCCACCCCAGGGUCAUCCUCUGCCCAAUGUAUCCUUCUCGGGUCCUAUUAAUUCUAAGGAGGAAAAAAUGGAAUUACUUAAAAUGUGGUGUUUCCAUGACGGGGGAGGGGAGGGCAGAGAGGUGGCAAAGUGGCUCUUUGUGCUUUUAAUCUGCAUUUUUCCCUCAACGUUCCUGUCUCCGGGAGGAUAAUUUUCCAGCCUUUUCAGGCCCUGAUUGGUAUCAUUUCUCCAGCAAUGACAGCUUUUAUUUUCCCCGAAAUGAAUGCCGUGAAAUUUCCAAGAAAUAUAAAAAUGGAUAUUGUCUCAGAGAGCCGACUCUUCCGACAGAAAGGCACAGAGGCAAAUAUGCUUCCCUAGGGACACUUCCGCUCCAGCCACAGGGGUCGGGUGGGGGCAGCCUCCAGGCACUCAGUCUCUCCUCCCUCCUUUCUCCCUCCCUCUUCCUUUCCUCCUCCCUCCCAGGUCAGCUCUGGGACCCCCUUCCAGCCACCCUCUCCCAGACUCAGCUGCUAUUGAUCUGCUCAUGGGCCUCAGGACUCCCAGCCAGGUGCCCUGCAGGCUCCACCUCACCUGCUGUGUUCACUUCUCAUCCCCCAGCCCUGCCCCAGAGAGCAGCAACCAGGGCCUACAGGAGUUGACUUGGAAUUGGGCUCUCUGACCCCUCAGUCCUGGUGGCCCUGCACAGACUACCAAUAAAGAGAGGUCGGAGGCCCACUUCCUUGACUUCAACACCUUCUCUGUAAGGGAAACUGACGCUGUAGGGGAGUAGGGCACCAGCGGUCUGGCCUGUUGCUUGCUCACUCUUUGCAGGGUGGGGGGGGGCUCUCUUCCUACCCCUAAUUGCCAAGGUGACCCCAUGACUCAUGAGCAAGAGAAUGACAGGCCACAGCAGUGCCCAACUAAACCCAGCCAAGCCCUGAGUGAGGCAGCUGAGUGCCCAGCUUAGGGGAGCAGUGGGGUGCCGCCACAGCUGACUUGGAGGGCAAAGGCCUGAGGGGAUGCCAGGGGCAGAGAUGGGUUCAGAGCCUGACCCUCUGUCUCCUCCCUGACCAAGGGCAGAUCCCAGCCACCCUGUAGAGUGGGGCAUCACUCGGUUUGGGUUCCGGGCAUGGAGCCCUCCUUGGGGACCGCAUGCUGUCACCAAUAGCUUGCAUCUGUUGCCCAUUCACCAAGUGGGUAGCUAAGUGCCUCGCUCUGAGGUGGGGCUGCCACCUAACGCCAGGCCUGGCCCUAUCUGGAGCCUGUUUGUGGUGGGACCCGCUUUUCUCCUCCAGCCUGCAUGUGGGUGGGGAUGAACCCCUUGUCCUGCCUCAGUGUGCCGCCUCAGGGCAUCAGCUCUGGGACCUGCCCCGCCAGCCUCCACCCUGUCCAACCAGGCCUCACACCUCUGCAGAUGUGUGGUGUCUUCUGAGCUGAGCCCUCAAAACACACCCCAGCCAGCUUCCUGUCCUCCACCCGGCCUCUCGGGGCUCAUCCCAUCUAUUAUUCAAGGCACAAAAUGGAUUUUUAAUUUGAGAAAUGAAAUGACUCUCCCAAGUGGCCGGGUGGCAGGGAGGGGGCAGAGGAAGGCCAGAGCCUCCGCAGCCGCCACGGUGCUGACUCAGGUUUGCCUUGGAAAUCUCAGGGCCACAGUUGAACUGAGAGAUCCCCAAAGCCCCAGGACCCCAGCACUCUGCCCCAGGCCUCCACUCCUCCCCGCUGCUGUGACCAGGUGGGGUGACAGGGUGCCCAUCAGUCCUGCCUGAGCCUCCAGUGAGGCCUGCCUCUGGCCGGGCAGUGGGGUCUCUGUCCCCCACUGACUUUCAGAUUCCUGUGCCUCAAGGCAGCCCUUGGGCUCCCAGGCCUGGCCUCUCACCUCCCCACACUCCCCAGCCUUCCUGGGCUGGCUUCCUCCACCGUGUCCAGACCUCCAGCUGAGCUCCUUUGCUAGGCCCUGACCCCGAACUAGGCCCACUCCACCCUGGACUGCUGCCCUGGCCUCCACUCUGUGGAGGGGUUCUCCACUCCAGAACCCCUCCUCACCCCUCACGGUGGAGCUCACACACCUUAGCGUGGCCCAUGAGGCAGGGCCUCCUCCCAGCUCUUCUCUUUGACCCUCUCUGCUUCCCCGCCCCCACACCUCCCUCUUUCCUCUGGUCACUCAGCUCUAUUUCCAUUUCCCAGAAAGUGACUGGCUAUCUCCAGCCUCAUCCCUCAGGCCUUAGCACUCGCUGUUCUGGCUGCCUGGAGCCCCCUUCCUCCCUCCCCUCCUCCAGCCAAUCGCCACCCAUCCUUGGGGCACCUGGGAGUGACCUCACCUCUCUGAUCAGAUGCUGACUCCACAGGCCCCUACUCCACUGGAUGCGUAGGUCUCUCCUACGGCAGCCCCUGUUCUUCACCUCCGUGUAACCCACAGCCCCUUCUGGAGGCUGUGGGACAGGGGAUGCAUGUAAUCAAGUCGAGUGACAACUGUGAUCAUUCAUGGAGAUGCCCUGCAUGAAGUAUCUCUGGACUCCAGGCCAUACACCAGGCACAGCACCCAGACAAACCUGCCCAGGCGCUUGGGUCCUGAACCCGCCAGACGACAAGAGGAGCCGUUUUCCAGUCUCCCGCAUGCCUCCCCUCCACUCUGAACCCCAUGGUUCACUUUGUCCCGCCAUGCACAGACUCCUCUCUGGGUUGCCUCCCAACCUCUAGAGUAACGCUGUUUUUAUACAGGAAACAUGUAAAUAUACUCUUGCAUUAAAAUAUUUAAGCCACACAAGUACAUAGAGGAUAUGCAUGAAAGCCCUCUGUCACGCACUGGCAGCCCGUGGUGUUGCCCAGCGAGAGUACAGUGCCGCAGCCAUACCUCACUGCAGCCUGGACCUCCUAGGCUCAAGUAAUCCUCCCACCUUAGCCUCCAAAGUAGCUGGGACCACAGGUGUUGCCACCAUGCCUGGCUAAUUUUUUUUUAUUGUGUAGAGACGUGAGUCUCACUAUGUUACCCAGGCUGGUCUUGAACUCCUGGCGAUCAAGUUGAGUGAUGACUGUGAUCACUUGAAGAGGCUGUCUUCCUCAGCCUCUCAAAGUGCUGGGAUUGGGCCUCUCAAAGUGUGGGCCACUGUGCCCAGCACUUAUUGAUUUAUUUUUAAUAAAUAGGACACAAUAGGAUGGAUACUUGAGUGACUCUCCUCUCCAUGUGGCCUGUGCUAGUGUUUCCCACCCAGAGGUCCUCAAGGUCACCCUCCUUGGCUGAGGGACACUUAGGUUGUCUUGCCCACCCCUGUCUGGUCUUCAAAUCCUAAGGCCUUGGCCUGGAGUCUUGCCUCGAACUCUCCCUCUCUGCCUGCCGCCCUGUCCCACCUUACCUGCCCCUGGCCCUCCUCCACCCCCUGGAUGCUGUGCCC